rnacentral:rRNA from 1 species
UACGGGGGGGGCAAGCGUUGUUCGGAAUUACUGGGCGUAAAGGGCUCGUCGGCGGCCAACUAAGUCAGACGUGAAAUCCCUCGGCUUAACCGGGGAACUGCAUCUGAUACUGGAUGGCUUGAGUUCGGGAGAGGGAUGCGGAAUUCCAGGUGUAGCGGUGAAAUGCGUAGAUAUCAAGCGGAACACCGGUGGCGAAGGCGAGUCCCUGGACAACACCUGACACUGAGGCACGAAAGCUAGGGGAGCAAACAGG